rnacentral:rRNA from 1 species
GACGAACGCUGGCGGCGUGCUUAACACAUGCGAGUCGAACGGAAAGGCCCUGCUUUUGUGGGGUGCUCGAGUGGCGAACGGGUGAGUAACGCGUGAGUAACCUGCCCUUGACUUUGGGAUAACUUCAGGAAACUGGGGCUAAUACCGGAUAGGAGCUCCUGCUGCAUGGUGGGGGUUGGAAAGUUUCGGCGGUUGGGGAUGGACUCGCGGCUUAUCAGCUUGUUGGUGGGGUAGUGGCUUACCAAGGCUUUGACGGGUAGCCGGCCUGAGAGGGUGACCGGCCACAUUGGGACUGAGAUACGGCCCAGACUCCUACGGGAGGCAGCAGUGGGGAAUAUUGCACAAUGGGCGGAAGCCUGAUGCAGCAACGCCGCGUGCGAGAUGACGGCCUUCGGGUUGUAAACCGCUUUCGCCUGUGACGAAGCGUGAGUGACGGUAAUGGGUAAAGAAGCACCGGCUAACUACGUG